rnacentral:rRNA from 1 species
GACGAACGCUUGCGGCGUGCUUAACACAUGCAAGUCGAACGGAAAGGCCCUGCUUUUGUGGGGUGCUCGAGUGGCGAACGGGUGAGUAACACGUGAGUAACCUGCCCUUGACUUUGGGAUAACUUCAGGAAACUGGGGCUAAUACCGGAUAGGAGCUCCUGCUGCAUGGUGGGGGUUGGAAAGUUUCGGCGGUUGGGGAUGGACUCGCGGCUUAUCAGCUUGUUGGUGGGGUAGUGGCUUACCAAGGCUUUGACGGGUAGCCGGCCUGAGAGGGUGACCGGCCACAUUGGGACUGAGAUACGGCCCAGACUCCUACGGGAGGCAGCAGUGGGGAAUAUUGCACAAUGGGCGGAAGCCUGAUGCAGCAACGCCGCGUGCGGGAUGACGGCCUUCGGGUUGUAAACCGCUUUCGCCUGUGACGAAGCGUGAGUGACGGUAAUGGGUAAAGAAGCACCGGCUAACUACGUGCCAGCAGCCGCGGUGAUACGUAGGGUGCGAGCGUUGUCCGGAUUUAUUGGGCGUAAAGGGCUCGUAGGUGGUUGAUCGCGUCGGAAGUGUAAUCUUGGGGCUUAACCCUGAGCGUGCUUUCGAUACGGGUUGACUUGAGGAAGGUAGGGGAGAAUGGAAUUCCUGGUGGAGCGGUGGAAUGCGCAGAUAUCGGGAGGAACACCAGUGGCGAAGGCGGUUCUCUGGGCCUUUCCUGACGCUGAGGAGCGAAAGCGUGGGGAGCGAACAGGCUUAGAUACCCUGGUAGUCCACGCUGUAAACGGUGGGUACUAGGUGUGGGGUCCAUUCCACGGGUUCCGUGCCGUAGCUAACGCUUUAAGUACCCCGCCUGGGGAGUACGGCCGCAAGGCUAAAACUCAAAGGAAUUGACGGGGCCCCGCACAAGCGGCGGAGCAUGCGGAUUAAUUCGAUGCAACGCGUAGAACCUUACCUGGGUUUGACAUGGAUCGGGAGUGCUCAGAGAUGGGUGUGCCUCUUUUGGGGUCGGUUCACAGGUGGUGCAUGCCUGUCGUCAGCUCGUGUCGUGAGAUGUUGGGUUAAGUCCCGCAACGAGCGCAACCCUUGUUCACUGUUGCCAGCACGUUAUGGUGGGGACUCAGUGGAGACCGCCGGGGUCAACUCGGAGGAAGGUGGGGAUGACAUCAAGUCAUCAUGCCCCUUAUGUCCAGGGCUUCACGCAUGCUACAAUGGCUGGUACAGAGAGUGGCGAGCCUGUGAGGGUGAGCGAAUCUCGGAAAGCCGGUCUCAGUUCGGAUUGGGGUCUGCAACUCGACCUCAUGAAGUCGGAGUCGCUAGUAAUCGCAAAUCAGCAACGCUGCGGUGAAUACGUUCCCGGG